UUUCCGUAGGUGAACCCGCGGAAGGAUCAUUGCAAAUCGAGAGGGGGGUGAGUGGGGUGUGGAUGGGGGAGAGUGUGGAGGAGGGUGUGGAGGGGAGGGUGCGUGGCUCUGCUGCGUGCUCUCUUUUCCUGCUCUGCUGCGUGCUCCCUCAGCACCCCCACUCACCCGCCGACAUUUGGUCGGGACGCGAGUCCCGGAUCAUUCACGCUUGUGCAGUUUGACAGAGUAGUGCUGAGUGUAUAAUAAUGACAACUUUUAACAAUGGAUCUCUUGGCUCUU
rnacentral:misc_RNA from 1 species